UUGGGAUGUACAGUUUUUCUCACUUCUUCUCCUUUCAUUUUCGUAUCAUGUGCUUGUUUGUUUUUGAAAUGCACCCUUUGGUUGGAAAAUGUGCAGACAAUGAAUGAAAGCAUCUUGAGUUCAAAGUAUUCUUGUUUUCAUUUAAAUCCUUCCUAUCACCUGCUGUUUGUUGCUCUUUGCUUACGGCAUGAAUCCCCCUGGAUUUCAGGAAACCUAACUGGUCCUCUAUAAACUGCCAUGACUAUUCGUUUCCCAUGUAUUCUUCUGUCCCCAUAGCUUCUGAUGUGAAACAGAUUUUACUUUUCUAGAGAGUAGAGGUCAACAUGAAAGCUUCUUCUUUAAAAAAAGAAAAAAAGAAAAAAGAAAUCACUCUGGCAUUCAACUUUUCGGUUUGUUAUGUUCUGCUUUCUACUAUACUUUAGAAUUAUGUCACAAAUAUAAAGCAAAAAUUCUGCAUUAAGUUCUAAAUUUCAUUUUUGGGUGGGAAUGUUGCAAUUACCAUGCCAUUCAGGUGGUAAGUUUACACCGGUAUCUCAUGAGAUUUUGAGAAAAUGUCAUCUUUGAUGUUCAUCAUAGCAUUUUAUAGAAACUAAUUGGGAAAUACAAUCUCUUUGUAGACUUUCAUUCAUUCCUCUUCCACAUUCCAAGAGAGCACAGGGAGCACUGAUUGUGUGACCACUUUUGUCCUGCCUCUGAGGAAUGUUUGUUUUCUGUGAUCUGGCUGCAACAAAAUCUGCAUACUGAAUAUUCUUGGUGGUUUCUGACUUCCCAAAAAGAACGUGUAGGCACCUGAACAAAAUCUGAUAUCCCAGAUGGAAAGAGUUAUCUCCUAAACGUUGUCCAGGGCUGUGUGAGUUCCAUGAUCCCAUGUAAAAAGUGAAGCUAUAGGAUCUGCUUGCAAAAUCAGGAAGCAUGCAUGAUGAGGCAAUAAACUUUUAUUCAGAAGUAAGAAGAAGAGUUUGGAUUUGAUAUCCUGCUUUAUCACUAC